UACAGAGGGUGCAAGCGUUGUUCGGAAUUAUUGGGCGUCAAGCGCGUGUAGGCGGCAUGGCAAGUCGGGUGUGAAAGCCCUCAGCUCAACUGAGGAAGUGCGCCCGAAACUGCUUUGCUUGAGUGCUGGAGAGGGUCGCGGAAUUCCCCAAGUAGAGGUGAAAUUCGUAGAUAUGGGGAGGAACACCGGUGGCGAAGGCGGCGACCUGGACAGUAACUGACGCUGAGACGCGAAAGCGUGGGUAGCAAACAGG
rnacentral:rRNA from 1 species